rnacentral:rRNA from 1 species
UACGAAGGGUGCAAGCGUUACUCGGAAUUACUGGGCGUAAAGGGCGCGUAGGUGGCCUGUUAAGUCGAACGUGAAAUCCCCCGGGCUCAACCCGGGAACUGCGUCCGAUACUGGCAGGCUUGAAUCCCGGGAGAGGGAUGUGGAAUUCCAGGUGUAGCGGUGAAAUGCGUAGAUAUCUGGGAGGAACACCGGUGGCGAAGGCGGCAUCCUGGACCGGCAUUGACGCUGAGGCGCGAAAGCCAGGGGGAGCAAAACGGGG